AAGAGUCAAGGGGAAUAGGCUCCUACUGGAGCCGAGACAUGAGAUAAGCUCUAACAAGAGCCGGAAAGUUAGAGAUUCCUUUACAGAAGCCUAAAGAGAAACGAGCUCUAUAGGAGCUGAGGCUGUGGCUCUGACAAGGGCCGAGAAUGGACUGCACUAACGAGAGCCACAAGCUAUUGAUAGGGCGACCGGUUGUAGAGCUUGGAAUGUCUGAAGUUCUAGUGGUUCUGGCUGCACUUGAUUUACGAGUGGAAGGGGGCGGGACCAUAUCAGCCGACGUGUGCUGAGGCUCCUUCUGUGACGAGAGAAUGGUGAAUGCACGGAGUUACGAAUUAAAUCAUCAAGCUAUGCCAUUUUCAAGGUUAUUCAAAAAAAGUCAAGUGAUGGACGGGCUGGCGAAUGCCGUGAAUGAUAGGGCUUAUGGGAGCCUGGGGGAAUGGGGGCUCCUGAGAGCCAAAGAUAUUUGGCUCCUAAAAGUCGGGUGACAAAGAGACUAUUGAAAGCCGAAGGAUGAGGAGGGCUUAUACGAGCCAAAUUAUUGUCGACUCCUAAGAGAUGAUGUAUGAGCAUUAGCAUGAUAAAAACACAAGUAUAGAGAUAAAUUUGAAGUUGAAUUCACUAUCAAA